CCUACGGGAGGCUGCAGUGGGGAAUAUUGGACAAUGGGCGCAAGCCUGAUCCAGCCAUGCCGCGUGUGUGAAGAAGGCCUUCGGGUUGUAAAGCACUUUCAGUGGGGAAGAAAGCCUUGGGGCUAAUACCCUCGAGGAAGGACAUCACCCACAGAAGAAGCACCGGCUAACUCCGUGCCAGCAGCCGCGGUAAUACGGAGGGUGCGAGCGUUAAUCGGAAUUACUGGGCGUAAAGCGCGCGUAGGCGGUCUGAUAAGCCGGUUGUGAAAGCCCCGGGCUCAACCUGGGAACGGCAUCCGGAACUGUCAGGCUAGAGUGCAGGAGAGGAAGGUAGAAUUCCCGGUGUAGCGGUGAAAUGCGUAGAGAUCGGGAGGAAUACCAGUGGCGAAGGCGGCCUUCUGGACUGACACUGACGCUGAGGUGCGAAAGCGUGGGUAGCAAACAGGAUUAGAUACCCUUGUAGUC
rnacentral:rRNA from 1 species